rnacentral:lncRNA from 1 species
AUGGUUUACUAAGAAACAACAUUCAGUAGCAUUGUCUAUAGUGAAAACUAAAUAUAUUAUAACUAGAAGUUGUUGUGAUCAACUUUUAUAGAUCAAAUCUUAUUCUCCAAUAAGACGUUUGGAUGUGAAUUAUACUCCAUAAGGAGCCACAUGGGCGUAUGGCCUUUUAUCUUGCCAUUUGACCUCUCUUCCCAUGUAAGACAAAAUGCUCAGUGACAACA